rnacentral:lncRNA from 1 species
GUAAAAAUUGCUCCCAUUAUAAAAGCUCGACCAGAAUUUUCUAGCUUUUCUAAUUCUUAUUGAGCCAUCCUCAAAUACUGGAGGAGCUGAAAUAGGAAGAAAUAAAGAAAAAAAAAUGAGCUCAUUACUGCAAUGCUUCUGACUUAAGGUCUGGCCCAUGAAUGGAAUACAUGGCAAGGAGGAAUACGUUUGGAAUUUCACCCCAGUGAAACAGAGAGAACUGCUUGAAGAAUCCCUUUUUGAAAAAGAAUUCCUGGGGCUCGUAUGAAAAUGCUGGAAGAAAGAUUAUCACUAGCAUUGCUGUUCCUGUUGUAACUAUAAUAGAUUUUUUGUAUUUUUUGAGGGUGAAAAAUGAGGUUUGAUUUUAAAGGUACUUAAAGAGGUUGACUCUUAGUACCGCCUUACUCUAUGAAGGAAGAAAAGAGAAACAAGAGUUUAUGAAACUCCCACAGGGCACUUACCUGCCAUUAGAAACUUUCUCCAUGGAAACCAGAAACAUGAAAAGAAACUAUAUGGAAAAGGGAGUGCAUAAUUAUAAUUUUGAAAUACACCAGUGUUUUAAUAAAACUAUUCUUCUUUUUUUCCCCAUCAUGUAGAGUAGAG